rnacentral:rRNA from 1 species
GAUGAACGCUGGCGGCGUGCCUAAUACAUGCAAGUCGAGCGAACAGACGAGGAGCUUGCUCCUCUGACGUUAGCGGCGGACGGGUGAGUAACACGUGGGUAACCUAGCUAUAAGACUGGGAUAACUUCGGGAAACCGGAGCUAAUACCGGAUAAUAUAUUGAACCGCAUGGUUCAAUAGUGAAAGACGGUUUUGCUGUCACUUAUAGAUGGAUCCGCGCCGGAUUAGCUAGUUGGUAAGGUAACGGCUUACCAAGGCAACGAUGCGUAGCCGACCUGGGAGGGUGAUCAGCCACACUGGAACUGAGACACGGUCCAGACUCCUACGGGAGGCAGCAGUAGGGAAUCUUCCGCAAUGGGCGAAAGCCUGACGGAGCAACGCCGCGUGCGUGAUGAAGGUCUUCGGAUCGUAAACCUCUGUUGUUAGGGACGAACAAAUGUGUAAGUAACUAUGCACGUAUUGACGGUACCUAAACAGAAAGCCACGGCUAACUACGUG